CCUACGGGGGGCAGCAGUGGGGAAUGUUGGACAAUGGGCGCAAGCCUGAUCCAGCUAUUCCGCGUGUGGGAUGACGGCCCUCGGGUUGUAAACCACUUUAGUAGAGAACGAAAAGGAGCAAGCGAAGAAAUAGCUCUGCUGACGGUACUCUAAGAAGAAGCACCGGCUAACUACGUGCCAGCAGCCGCGGUAAUACGUAGGGUGCGAGCGUUAAUCGGAAUUACUGGGCGUAAAGGGUGUGCCGGCGGCUGAGUAAGACAGAUGUGAAAUCCCCGGGCUUAACCUGGGAACCGCUUAUGUGACUGCUUGGCUAGAGUGCGUCAGCGGGAGGUCGACUUCCACGUGUAGCCGUUAAAUGCGUAGAUAUGUGGCAGAACACCGAUGGCGACGGCAGCCUCCUGGGCCGCAACUGACGCUCAUCCACGAAAGCGUGGGGAGCAAACAGGAUUAGCUACCCGAGUAGUC
rnacentral:rRNA from 1 species